CUGCAAACAUUCUCGCCUGUUUGAUCGAUCCAUGGUCAGAACAGGGCUAGUAGUUUGCCAGAUUGACUCCAACACGAGAGCUAGCAGACUUGACCACACUGUCAUAUCUGUUCUCACCCUGCACCCGUUGGUCACAAUU
rnacentral:snoRNA from 1 species